GACGGAGGAGGCAAGCGUUAUCCGGAAUUAUUGGGCGUAAAGCGUCCGCAGGUGGCGAUUCAAGUCUGCUGUCAAAGGUCGGGGCUUAACCCCGGGAAUGCAGUGGAAACUGAAUAGCUAGAGUGCGGUAGGGGCAGAGGGAAUUCGCGGUGUAGGGUUGAAAUGCGUAGAGAUCGGGAAGAACGCCAGUGGCGAAAGCGGUCUGCUGGGCCUGGAGUGACACUGUGGGACGAAAGCUUGGGGAGCGAAAGGG
rnacentral:rRNA from 1 species